CCGGGUGAGUAACACGUAUCCAACCUGCCGUCUACUCUUGGACAGCCUUCUGAAAGGAAAGAAUUAAAACAAGAUGGCAUCAUGAGUCCGCAUGUUCACAUGAUUAAAGGUGUUCCGGUAGACGAUGGGGAUGCGUUCCAUUAGAUAGUAGGCGGGGUAACGGCCCACCUAGUCUUCGAUGGAUAGGGGUUCUGAGAGGAAGGUCCCCCACAUUGGAACUGAGACACGGUCCAA
rnacentral:rRNA from 1 species